CAACGAGGAGGAACGGUUACCUUCAAUGAUGGAUGAAGCUUUACACUAUCUAGAGAAGAGGCAGAUGCAAGAUCCUGUGUUCACAUACGAAGUCAUUGUGGUCGACGAUGGCAGCAGAGAUCAAACCACAAAGGU